GGCGGGUGGCGGUUCAGCGCCGCGGCUCUUUCUCCCUAACGCCCGAAACUCGGGGCUGAGAACUUCUCCCCGCCUGUGCCCCGCGCGCUCCGGCGACCCCCGGCUCCCGCACCUAGUUCCCAGCCCGUCCCCGCCCCGCCUCCGGCCGCGCCACCCCCGCUGUCGGCCGCCGGCCGCGCUGCUCUCGGUUACAAAGGAGGGAAAAUGAGCCGGGCGGCGGCGGCGCGGCGCGGGUCCACCGCGGCUGCGGCGAUGGCGGCCGCCCCCGGCACCACGUAGAACGCCCCCGCCCGCCCAGCCGCGGCCCAGGCCGGAGCAGAGCCUGCAGCUCGCCACUCGCCUCCUGAGCCCAGCGCGUCGCCUCCUGGCCGGAGGAGGAGGUGGAGGAGGAGGAGGAGGAGGCGCCGCCUUCUUGCCGCGCGCCCUCGCUGUUGUCUGCGCUCCGCUCUGGACCAGUUUGGGGAAGUUGCCGGAGCCCCGCGUCGCCCAGAUGUGCGACCUCAUUGAGUCGCAGCCGGCCGAGAAGAUCGGCAAGAUGAAGAAGUUGCGGAGAACUUUGUCGGAGAGUUUCAGCCGCAUCGCUUUGAAGAAAGACGACACCACCUUUGAUGAGAUAUGUGUCACAAAGAUGUCUACACGGAACUGCCAGGGAAUGGACUCAGUGAUCAAACCCCUGGACACAAUUCCUGAGGAUAAAAAAGUCAGGGUUCAGAGGACACAGAGCACUUUUGACCCAUUUGAGAAACCAGCUAAUCAAGUAAAGAGGGUGCAUUCCGAGAACAAUGCUUGCAUUAACUUCAAGUCCUCCUCCACUGGCAAAGAGUCACCAAAAGUUAGGCGGCACUCCAGCCCCAGCUCGCCAACCAGUCCCAAAUUUGGAAAAGCUGACUCAUACGAAAAACUGGAAAAACUAGGGGAAGGAUCUUAUGCUACAGUUUACAAAGGAAAAAGCAAAGUAAAUGGGAAGUUGGUAGCCCUGAAGGUGAUCAGGCUGCAAGAAGAAGAAGGUACACCUUUUACAGCUAUCAGGGAAGCCUCUCUGUUAAAAGGACUAAAACAUGCUAACAUAGUGCUGCUUCAUGACAUCAUCCACACCAAGGAGACGCUGACACUUGUGUUUGAAUAUGUGCACACUGAUUUGUGUCAGUACAUGGACAAGCACCCUGGGGGGCUGCAUCCAGAUAAUGUGAAGUUGUUUUUAUUUCAGUUGCUGCGAGGGCUGUCUUACAUCCACCAGCGUUAUAUUUUGCACAGAGACCUGAAACCACAGAACCUUCUGAUCAGUGACACGGGGGAGUUAAAGCUGGCAGAUUUCGGUCUUGCAAGAGCAAAAUCUGUCCCUAGCCACACAUACUCCAAUGAAGUGGUUACCUUGUGGUACAGACCUCCAGAUGUCCUCCUGGGCUCAACAGAAUAUUCCACCUGCCUUGACAUGUGGGGUGUUGGCUGCAUCUUUGUUGAAAUGAUCCAAGGAGUUGCUGCUUUUCCAGGAAUGAAAGACAUUCAGGAUCAACUUGAACGAAUAUUUCUGGUUCUCGGAACGCCAAAUGAGGACACGUGGCCUGGAGUUCAUUCUUUACCACAUUUUAAGCCAGAACGCUUUACCCUGUACAGCUCUAAAAACCUUAGGCAAGCGUGGAAUAAGCUCAGCUAUGUGAAUUAUGCAGAGGAUCUGGCCUCCAAGCUCCUACAGUGUUCCCCAAAGAACAGACUAUCAGCACAGGCUGCCUUGAGCCACGAGUAUUUUAGUGACCUGCCCCCACGGCUAUGGGAACUGACCGAUAUGUCUUCUAUUUUUACCGUCCCAAACGUAAGAUUGCAGCCAGAAGCUGGAGAAAGCAUGCGGGCCUUUGGGAAAAACAAUAGUUAUGGCAAAAGUCUAUCAAAUAGCAAGCACUGAUGAGCACAACAUUCUCAAGAGAGUACAGGUAUCCUAAGUGCUCAAAAACAUUUCAAACAGUGAAACAUGUGGACAGAGAAUUUUGAAUUUGGGUCCAGCCUACAGUGGAAGAUAAUGUUCAUUGGAGAAAUUGCUGGAUCACAUGUUUCAUGUUUUCUCUAUAAGAAGAAAAGAUGUGUGAUUAAGUUGUCAUCAUUCUGGGAAGAAAAAAAAAAAACAUUAAUGAAGUGGCCAAUAAUACGAAGGGAAUCACGGAUCACUUUCCUUCCCCUCCCUGUGGUGGAUUUCACUUACAAGAAAAUUGAAGCUGGCAAGACCCUGUUUUCUCUGCAAUUUAUUUAAAACCUUGCACGCAUUUGGAUACCUUGUGAUUUCCAAGAACUAUGUGAAGAUUAAGCUUUGCUUACUGAUACAUGGCAUGUAUUCUUUUCAGUCUUUUGUGUUUGAUUUUGUUUGAUUUCCCUCUGCAGCACAGCGUCUCUGUAAAGGUUUUUAUGCUUUCACCAGCCAUGUCUUAAAUACAUUAAGACAACACAUUUGGUGUUCACACUUCUUCAGUAAUGUCUGUACUUGAAAGCCACAUAGUGGCAUAAAACAAUGUGUGUUUUCUUUGAGAGCAGUGCACAUUUUGCAACCACUAGGAAGGAAAUUUUUAGCUACAGCAAACCCAUGUUCUCAGACCGACUUGACAACUUGGUCCCUGGCUGUGGGGCCCCACUUGUUGCUUACCUUUUGAGGACAUUUGCAAAUGUGGUUUUCUCUUGGAAAUAACUGCACGUGUAUAUAGGAUAUCAGAAUCUGCUUAGCAUUUUAAGCCACAUAGCAUGACUGUUUUCCAAGUAGGUUGGAAGUAAAGAAACUAAUAUCAAGCAUUCAGAACAAAGACAGGGAUAAAUUGCUUACUUUUCAACCUCUGGAAAUGGAGGUAACCUUUUACAUGUUUUCUGGGUCUUGUCAACAUCUCAUAUUUUCCAUCCACUCUGUUAUACUUCAGGAGUGUUUUCUAAAUGGAGGAGAAAAGAGUGAGGAACAGAAUGCUUAAAACCUGGGUGCAAAUGAAUUGUCUCUGCUAGAUGAGCCCUGAAAGCCAUAUUGGCUCAUUAACAGUUAAAAAAGCAAAUUACAAAGUUAUCCAGAGUUAAAAAUUUGCUCGCUUACACCAAAGCACCUUUAAAUUACAUUUUGUAAAACAUUCCAAGCUGAUUGGAAGACACCAUUGGGGACCUUAACUUUAAACAGUCUCCUGGAAAAACUGUUUGAACACAGGUUGCAGAACCCAUGUGGGAGUCUUGCUUUCAAGAUGGCAAGGGAAAAAGAAAGGCCCAGCUUCCCUUGUUAAGAUGAUGAGGGACCUUGAAGGAUGAAGGCACGUAUGUGACAAGGAGGGAAAAGUGGACUGGGCACACGUUGUGCUUUGAUGCGGAGGGAGACCUGCCUGAUGUAGGCCUUCUCCCAGUGGGGCCGGCCUCACUGCAUAACCCCAAAUAAUACUGAGGCCAAGUGGGCAGUUAGGAAACUUCAUAUAAAGCAUGAAACCUAGCCCCUCAGAACACCAAUUCCUAUGGAAAUACUUCCAUGUAUGUCGGUCUACAUUUUCCCAUUGGUCAGAAAGGAGGAGAGACUGAGAACUUGAAAUGUGUCGCACUUUUUUAGGAUCGAGACUAGGAGUUAUGAGCCCAUUUGACAAAGACAUCUUCUGAGAGUCAUGUGAGGGGAAAGGUUCUCGACAGUCAAAGCCAGCAUUCCUAAGAAAUUGGACCCAGAACUUCUAAGUGUUAAAAGGGUACCUUCCCUGGAGUGGGACGCAACAUGCCAAGGUCACAAUCCAGCCUAUUCAGAAGUGGCAUUCAUUGAACACUUAUAGGUGCAAAGCAAGGAAUUGUUUGCUAAUUAAUUUUAAAGAGAGCAAAAGUUACCCAAGACUAGAAUGUUUACUAGUUGCCACCUAGAACUCUUUCCCAUUCUUCUUUCGGACAUUCCAACCCAUUGGAAGUCUUUGGCUGUAUUUUAACAUAUGCUGAAAUUAGGAUUCCUUAAGAUAAAUGCGGGGAGAAAAUUUUACAUGCAAUCAAGAAUGGCCUUGUCUGUGGUUUGUUUUGAAUUAUUUAUUUGGGGGAGAGGCAUAACUUUUGUAUUUUACUAACUUUAAAUCAAGAGCAGCUGAUGAUUAAAUCUUGCUAUUUAAUAAGCUUUCUAAUUUGAACAUUUGAAAAUAUUUAAUAUUAAAAAAGACUUCAAUUAGGAAUGUUAGCAUCAUUCAGAGAUAUAUAAGCAGCUUCUCUCUGGAAUUGAAGCAUAAUACUCAGUAUUGGGGGGAUAUCUGUUUUUUACAGAGAUGUAUGUCUCAGAAGGUCUCAUUUAGGAGGUUUGUAGUUCCCCGUCCUUGUUAUCAGUACAGGAAAUCCAAAGUUUGCUUUGUCUCUCUCCCCUUUCCUCUCCUAUUGGCAAUCCGUCCUCCCUCCUCCUCUCCCCUGCCUUCUCCCACUGAGGGCAGCCAUGAAAAUCAUUACAGAACAUGUUCAUUAGCAGAUUUAUUAUUCUAUUGAGAAAGCAAUGGAAUGUUUUGUGAGAUUAUUUUUAUAUGAAGGAUUAGCUUGAAUUCGUACAGCUGGAAUAGUAGGAACACAUUAGCAUGGUGACGGUAUGAAUGCAACAUCAAUGCACACAUAGUAUCUGAAAGAAAAAUUGGGACUUCAUUUCCUUAAAGGAACAGUUUGGUUGACUUAAAAAUGCAAGAUACAUAGGACAUGCAAAAAUGUUUUGCAGUGCUCAAAGAAAAAACAAGGGGCAUAAGACAGGGGUGGCUGUCCAUCCACUGAUAUAAGGGUGAGAAGCUAUUUCUACCUCCCAAGAGUGAUAAGAAAAGUUUCCAGGGUAGCCUCCAGGUUUGCAGAGAGAGCAAAGCCUCUUGGUAUCCUCUCCUCAGUGUGUACAUGACAGCCAGUGUAAUUAAUACCCUAGCUUAUGUGUCUAUUUGAGAGACUCAUCUGUGAAUAAUACUGGUUUUGUAAUCUUUGUUACAUAAGAGGAUGUUUAGGCUGUACAUACUGGGGUAGAUUAUUUCCUACCCCCCCCCCAUCCGUAGGAAUAUGCUGCAUAAUUGCACAUAACUUUUAUCUCUCUUACUGGCUUAUAGGCAGAGGAAACCAUAUAUGUUACUGCCUUGCAAAUUUCUCAUACACCAAAAACAACCAAAAAAUGUCUCAAGUAAAAUAACCAAUCUCCUAUUUUCAUUCCCCUUCCCACAGCAGCAUAUUUUAGAGGCACAUACAAAAUUGACAUUCUCUAGUUGGAAGUGGACUUUUUUAAUUUUUCUUUUAUCUUUUUUUUUUUUGUAUGAUACACUGAGAUGUGUACUUUCUAGCAGGAGGUCAAUACCUAAGAAAUGUGUUAGUAUCAUUCAGAAAACUAUUAUACUCCAAAAUGAAACAUAGUAAGGAGAAUGGAAUAAUCUUGCAUAUUUGUUACCAAGUGUAAUUUGUCUGUAUUAUGAAAGAUGUAAUGGUUUGUCAGCUGUCACUGUUGUUUUCUUGUAACAUGAUAUGGAAUAAAGUAUAGCAGAAUCUCUGUA